GGUUUUGUUUUAAAUUUUUUUUCUAAAUCAACUAAUCAAGGUUUGUGAUUCUUGUUUUGCAAACUAAAUUGAAUCUGAAACAAUUUUUAUCAACAUGCCAAGCUUUUUGAAUAUGGAAAUCUUUUCGGAACCAAAAAAAAAAAAAAUCACAACAAGAACUUUGACAAGCAAAAGUAUUUAAUAUAGGGUAAAGCUCUAAAGUUACUUCUUGAAAAUUAAAAUACUUGCAAAAAGCAUGCUUUUGGGUGAAUUCCAUAGUGUUGGAAGGGGCUUGCCAUGAUCUGCCUCACGCUCUGCUUCCACUAGUAGAUUCUCAAAUAGGAUUAGUAAAUUGGUCAAAAGAAGAGAUAGGGUACUGAGUGGUGAAUUGUUUAGAAAUAAAUUGGUAAUUUUUUUUUUAUUAAUUACCCAAAUAGGAUUUUCUACGGCUUAAUCAGUCAAUUGUCUAAAGAAACAUUGUUACUUAACUAAAAUUGAAUUAAACAACAGUUGAUUUUGGUUAAUAUAUUUUGAUUUAGCCCACAACAUUGAGAAAUCCUGGAUGUUUUGUUUCACAUAGAAAUACAAUUUGUGUAAUUCACGAAGGAUAUAUUCAAUCUUUCUGCCAAAUUUUUAUUUUCAAAUUUUGGUUUUUGAUUUUCUUUUGUUAUUAGAAUGCAGAAUAUCAGAAAUUGAUUUGUUAAUUUCGAAGAUUAUUCCUAAACUGAUGCAUUGUACUUUAUUAUUGGAUUAAUUUAACAUAAGAGCUGAGUAUAAUAUGUGCUAAUCACACCUAUUUGUAAUCACACAUCUUUCUACGGAUAGGUGUCCAACAUUUUGACUGAAAACAUAAUUGGGUUGUGUUGAUACAUGAUACAGAUAGUACUUAGAUGGUGGUGUUUUAAUUGUUAUGAGUGAGAUUGUGAAACCUCUUCCUCACAACUUGAGUGUUUUCUUAUUUAUAGGGUUUGCAUCGGCCCUUAACAUUUAGCAAGAAUAACGUUCAACAAACAUGCCUCAUCAGUCAUCAGAGGUUUCUUUUCUGAAAGAAGAGAGUUGAUGGGAAUGGGUGGAGUGGGCAAAAAGAAAAUAGCAUCCAAUUACUAACACUAGGCGUCGGAAAAUUUGGGCAAUGUCUAAAUUUAUUGAAUGGGGAUCACCUGUUUUAUCACAAAAAUUACAGCACCUUAGAUUCCACUUGAUGGAGCGUGAUUACAAUGGGUUUCUUUCGUAUCGGUUACCAACGAACAAUAGGAUGGGUGAAAUGAUGCAAAUGGCGGCUGCAAAUUUUCUACAUUUCAAAAGUUGUAAGUUCUUUGCAUUAGCAAUCAAGACUGGAUUAACACGCAUAUGAUUUGCUUACCUAAGCACCAUUUUCGAAGUUGUUCACAAUGCAUCAUUAGCAUCCACAGUGCUCCCAACAAGAAGGUUAGAGAAGUUGAUUUUCAAUCCAGAAGUGUUGUGUUGACUUUGUUGGAGCUGAAAGAGAAAAGAGAACUGGGAAUUAGGAUUUUUUGUAAUUUAACUGAUAUAUGCAACUGCCCAAAAAUUAUGUUUUGAGAAAGGAACGUCAUUUGAAAUUUGUUAAAACGGGGCCUAAGAGAACUCUUAGGGACAAAAUAAUAAAUGGGAUAUAUGAUUGGUCAUAUAAUCGUGGUUGACUCUGCAUAGAUUGCGUCUUGACUUUAUUUAUU